rnacentral:tRNA from 2 species
GAGGCUUAACGGCACCCCGUUGAAGCAGUGUCCCCCUGCCUUCUAAGCAGGUUGUCGCAGGUUCGAUUCCUGCAGGGGUCGCCA